ACGUGGUUGUGAUUCUGGUUGCUGUUGCUGUUUCUGGAGUAGGUGUAAAUUGGCCUUAUCCGUGGCAGACUGUUGUCAGGCAGGGGGUCCAGUGAGGCGGCAGCAGGUGGGGGGAAAGUGGAGCGGUAGGAGAACAUGGAGUCAUCAUUGUCAUCAAAGUCCAUGGUGUGCUCUGGUAGAUGACACAGACACAACACAAGUCAAACCUCCACUCAUAGUCUCAAGGCUUAGUUUUUCCUUCUUUGUUCUUUAUUUCAAGAGUACCAUUCAAAAAAAAAAAAAAAGCAUUGCUAAAAGUUCAUUCACCGAGUUGGCAACAUUACUGAUUUCUGUACAUUACAGAUUUCUUUCUUUCCUUUUAACAAGUUUCCAUCACUAUCUAGAAAUGGACACAACACACAUGGCCAGAAAGCACCUUUGCAAGAUGUCAUGAUGCCUUACAGACAUUUAGAUAACAUUUACAAAACCUUGUGAAACGUUGUUAUUAAAUAUUAUUCUGAGUACAUGUAACAUACAGUCUGUACUAAUCUCAUGCAGGGAGUGCUGGGCUGAAAACAGCAGCUGUAAGAAACUACAUUCUUACCUCCAUCAUCAGCCAGGUCUAAGUCAAAUUCAGAGGAGGAAUGGAAAGGCUCGCCUGCAAAAACACGGCAACGUCAUAUCACCAUGGAGGGCUCAGCAGCAGUUGGAAAUUUUGCAGUGCCAAAAACGUUUAAAAGACGCAUGUCUUUUACAAAAAAGGAAAAUGAAAAGGCACAAAAAUCAAACUGCUGUCUUUGACCAUGCCACUGUGAACAAACGCUUCUAUAAUCACUGUCAACACCAGACCUGCCAACCUUGAAGGAAGUCGAGUACGAGCUUUUUCAUUGCCAGAAAUCUGUACACAUGCAAGAAACUGAAACAUUUACAGCAGCUCUGGACAAACCCAGUCUUAAUUUUGGCAUAGUCAUAUUGCUUUGCAGUUUAGCUAACCGGGGACAUAGUUUUAAGAAAUUAUGCCACCAUGUUCAGCUCCAGCUAACAAUCAAAUUGUGCUCAAUAAUGAGGUUUGUGAACAGCAUGUCUGCCCAACUGGCUAAAGAAAAGAGUUGGAACUCCUGUAAAAUUUCA